rnacentral:lncRNA from 1 species
ACACACAAUUGAUUUAUGUUUUUUUUAGUUACUAAUAGUUCUCUUUGAGUUUUUGUUCAGGAAUUGCUCAUGAGUUUCUUUUAGAAGCUAUUUUAAGAAUCUUUCAGGUUGUGAGAAUCAUCUUCAAGCUUUUUCUUGCGAAGAUUUUUUUUUUUUUUGGAGGGGGAAUUAGAGCCAUUGAAAGAAGUUGUGGAUUCUUAAUGUUUCCAAGGUUUCUUAGGACGUCAUCUUCUCUUUUCUAUCCUUAAUUUUUUGUUUCUUACUUAUUUAAGUUAGUUCUUCCUAUUUUGGCUUACUGAUUUUAUUGAUUUUCAUUCUAGGUUAAACUUGAUUCAAGAAAGACGUUCUCCUAUAUUGUUCUGCAUUCAUCAAAAUCAAC